rnacentral:rRNA from 1 species
UACGUAGGGGGCUAGCGUUGUCCGGAUUUAUUGGGCGUAAAGAGCGUGUAGGCGGCCAGGUAGGUCUGGUGUGAAAACUCGAGGCUUAACCUCGAGAUGUCAUCGGAAACCAUCUGGCUAGAGUCCGGAAGAGGAGAGUGGAAUUCCUGGUGUAGCGGUGAAAUGCGCAGAUAUCAGGAGGAACACCAGUGGCGAAGGCGGUGAUCUGGGCCGACACUGACGCUGUAGAGCGAAAGCGUGGGGAGCGAACAGG